UAGGGAAUCUUCCGCAAUGGGCGAAAGCUUGACGGAGCAACGCCGCGUGAGUGAUGAAGGUCUUCGGAUCGUAAAACUCUGUUAUUAGGGAAGAACAAAUGUGCAAGUAACUAUGCACGUCUUGACGGUACCUAAUCAGAAAGCCACGGCUAACUACGUGCCAGCAGCCGCGGUAAUACGUAGGUGGCAAGCGUUAUCCGGAAUUAUUGGGCGUAAAGCGCGCGUAGGCGGUUUUUUAAGUCUGAUGUGAAAGCCCACGGCUCAACCGUGGAGGGUCAUUGGAAACUGGAAAACUUGAGUGCAGAAGAGGAAAGUGGAAUUCCAUGUGUAGCGGUGAAAUGCGCAGAGAUAUGGAGGAACACCAGUGGCGAAGGCGACUUUCUGGUCUGUAACUGACGCUGAUGUGCGAAAGCGUGGGGAUCAAACAGG
rnacentral:rRNA from 1 species